rnacentral:rRNA from 1 species
GGAUCAGUGGCGGACGGGUGAGUAACGCGUGAGCAACCUACCUACGAAUGGGGGAUAACACAGGGAAACUUGUGCUAAUACCGCAUAACAUAUACGGAUCGCAUGGUUUGUAUAUCAAAGGGAAACCGGUCGUAGAUGGGCUCGCGUCUGAUUAGGUAGUUGGUGAGGUAACGGCCCACCAAGCCAACGAUCGGUAGCCGAACUGAGAGGUUGAACGGCCACAUUGGAACUGAGAAACGGUCCAGACUCC